CAAGACAUAGCUUAACUUUUAAAGCAUUCAACUUACACUUGAAAAAUGCCUAAUAAACCAACGAGGCUGUCUUGA
rnacentral:tRNA from 1 species